AUUGAACGCUGGCGGCAUGCUUUACACAUGCAAGUCGAACGGGUUAAGGGGCUUGCUCCUUAGCUAGUGGCGAACGGGUGAGUAAUGCAUCGGAACGUACCGUGUAGUGGGGGAUAACGCAUCGAAAGGUGUGCUAAUACCGCAUACGAUCUACGGAAGAAAGCGGGGGCUCGCAAGACCUCGCGCUAUACGAGCGGCCGAUGUCGGAUUAGCUAGUUGGUGAGGUAAAGGCUCACCAAGGCAACGAUCCGUAGCGGGUCUGAGAGGAUGAUCCGCCACACUGGGACUGAGACACGGCCCAGACUCCUACGGGAGGCAGCAGUGGGGAAUUUUGGACAAUGGACGAAAGUCUGAUCCAGCCAUGCCGCGUGAGUGAAGAAGGCCU
rnacentral:rRNA from 1 species